rnacentral:rRNA from 1 species
GACGAACCGUCCAAACGUUGUUCGGAAUCACUGGGCUUAAAGGGCGCGUAGGCGGAUGCUCAAGUCGGUGGUGAAAUCUUUCGGCUCAACCGGAAAACAGCCGCCGAUACUGGGUGUCUCGAGGGAGGUAGGGGUCGAGGGAACUUCCGGUGGAGCGGUGAAAUGCGUAGAUAUCUGGAGGAACACCGGUGGCGAAGGCGGCAUCCUGGACCAAUUCUGACGCUGAGUGAGCGAAAAGCCAGGGGGAGCAAAACGGG